AUUGAACGCUGGCGGAAUGCUUUACACAUGCAAGUCGAACGGCAGCACGGACUUCGGUCUGGUGGCGAGUGGCGAACGGGUGAGUAAUGUAUCGGAACGUGCCCAGUCGUGGGGGAUAACGUAGUGAAAAUUACGCUAAUACCGCAUACGAUCUAUGGAUGAAAGCGGGGGAUCGCAAGACCUAGCGCGAUUGGAGCGGCCGAUAUCAGAUUAGGUAGUUGGUGGGGUAAAGGCCCACCAAGCCAACGAUCUGGAGCUGGUCUGAGAGGACGACCAGCCACACUGGAACUGAGACACGGUACAGACUCCUACGGGAGGCAGCAGUGGGGAAUUUUGGACAAUGGGCGCAAACCUGAUCCAGCCAUUCCGCGUGCAGGAUGAAGGCCCUCGGGUUGUAAACUGCUUUUGUACAGAACGAAAAGGUUUCUACUAAUACUAGGAGCUCAUGACGGUACUGUAAGAAUAAGCACCGGCUAACUACGUGCCAGCAGCCGCCGUAA
rnacentral:rRNA from 1 species